UACGAGGGGGGCAAGCGUUGUUCGGAAUUAUUGGGCGUAAAGGGCGCGUAGGCGGUGCGGUAAGUCACCUGUGAAACCUCUAGGCUUAACCUAGAGCCUGCAGGCGAAAACUGCCGUGCUGGAGUGUGGGAGAGGUGCGUGGAAUUCCCGGUGUAGCGGUGAAAUGCGUAGAUAUCGGGGAGGAACACCUGUGGCGAAAAGCGGCGCACUGG
rnacentral:rRNA from 1 species